AGUUUGAUUUUUGUUUUCCUCAACUUAUCCCUGAAGAUAAAAUUGAGCAACACUAUGAGAAAACUGAAUGCAAAAAGCACAGAAGGUUCCUUUAGAAGUUGAAGAAGAGCCAUUGGAUGGAGUUUUCUAGAACAAAAUAGGGAAACCAUGGUCUGGCGAUAACAAUCAGAUUGGCUAUCCUGUGCAUUGUUAUGCCAAAAACUUCUGUCAUGUCCAAAUCAUCAGCUGCAGUACCCGCAGGAAGCUCCCAAUCAAAGCUAUGCAGAAGUUGUGCUAGAGCAAGCUCAAUGCUGGCUGUGCUGAAUGUAACAGCCGGACAACCUCUUCUACCCGCCCCAAAAGGUACUAGUACUGGUGCAGGUGGAUGCAGCCGAAAUAUCUCUUUAAUGACAGCUUUUAAAUAGUCCAGCUGAUGAAGAUCACCCUCUAACACAACUCUUUUUUCUCCAACAACACCUCUUACUUCAGCUUGUGCUUUUUUGAGAACUUUGGGGUUCAUCAGAAGUUCUGUCAUCCCCCAAUCAAGGGUGAUGAAGGUUGUGUCUGUUCCAGCAGCAAACAUGUCC